rnacentral:lncRNA from 1 species
UUGAUGGUACUUUUUAUAUCCAAAAUAAUAUUUUAAUGUGAAUUAUAAAAUGAUAAAAAUAAAAUAAAAACAUAAAAUCAUACAAUAGAAUGUACAUCUUUAUAUAUUUAAAAUUUACACAAUCUAAGAUAAUUUCAAUAACAUUUAGAUAUCCAAUUUUUACAGCAAAGAAAUGUUACAACAUUAUUUUUUAAAUUAAAAAUAAGCAAUCGUGUGUACUCAAUGGCAAAAAAUUUAGAAAAAAAAUAUGAGGAAAAUAAAGUAUUUUUAUAUUAACAUUUUUUGAUGAAUUGAUUUUGAAAAAUAAAAAUCACAAAUACACAAACAAAUGACAAUUCAUUGUUAUAGGUUUUUUUUACUUGAUAUACUUUAUAAUAACUUAAAUACAAUUAAACAUAUAUAUAUAUAUAUAUAUAUAUAUAUAUUUAUGCAAAUGAAAUUGAAUAAAACUUCUCCAUAAAUCAUACUGAUUUGAAUACUUCAAUAAAAAGUAACUUGUGUAUAUCAUGAUUCCAAAAGAUCAUAAAAAUAUAUUCCUUAUAACUUAUAAAUCUGAAUAAUUUUGAAUUUUUUUGUAAUUAUAACCUAUUAUUAACAAACCACUGGAAAAGUUGAAUAUUUCAUUUUUCAUUUAACAUCAAAUCUUAAGUAUUUAUGAAUUUGCAAUCCACUGAUUGGAAUAUUCUCCUGGUCGCUGAAGGAAAAGAAAAUCCAUAAAAUGCUCCCAAACAUUCACUUUAUUUUUCUACAAAAAAAAUUACAGAAAAAUCGAUUGACUUUAAUAGCAUCAUUUUCAUCACUACUCUUUCAUCUCUCUAUUAUUCUGUGGCUUUUUCAAUGUUACCUUGAGUCUUAUGAGGAGCAGAGGAUGUUAUUUUUGCUGCACAAAAUUAUUAAAAGCAACAUAUAGAAACAGUUAUUUCCAAAUACUUAUUAUUGAAAAUCUUGAAAGGAUAGAUGACUGAAACUUAAUUAUUUAAUUUUAUUUUUUCAAAUUACAUAAUUGAUUGGAACACUGUAAUGAAUAAAACAAAUCAUGAGAACAAUUCUGUUACAUUUAAA